CACUGGACUGAGACACGGUCCAGACUCCUACGGGAGGCAGCAGUGGGGAAUAUUGAACAAUGGGCGCAAGCCUGAUGCAGCCAUGCCGCGUGUGUGAAGAAGGCCUUCGGGUUGUAAAGCACUUUCAGUCGUGAGGAAGGUGGUGUAGUUAAUAGCUGCAUUAUUUGACGUUAGCGACAGAAGAAGCACCGGCUAACUCCGUGCCAGCAGCCGCGGUAAUACGGAGGGUGCGAGCGUUAAUCGGAAUUACUGGGCGUAAAGCGCAUGCAGGUGGUUUGUUAAGUCAGAUGUGAAAGCCCGGGGCUCAACCUCGGAAUAGCAUUUGAAACUGGCAGACUAGAGUACUGUAGAGGGGGGUAGAAUUUCAGGUGUAGCGGUGAAAUGCGUAGAGAUCUGAAGGAAUACCGGUGGCGAAGGCGGCCCCCUGGACAGAUACUGACACUCAGAUGCGAAAGCGUGGGGAGCAAACAGGAUUAGAUACCCUGGUAGUCCACGCCGUAAACGAUGUCUACUUGGAGGUUGUGGCCUUGAGCCGUGGCUUUCGGAGCUAACGCGUUAAGUAGACCGCCUGGGGAGUACGGUCGCAAGAUUAAAACUCAAAUGAAUUGACGGGGGCCCGCACAAGCGGUGGAGCAUGUGGUUUAAUUCGAUGCAACGCGAAGAACCUUACCUACUCUUGA
rnacentral:rRNA from 1 species